UACGAAGGGGGGCUAGCGUUGCUCGGAAUUACUGGGCGUAAAGCGCACGUAGGCGGCUCUUUAAGUCGGGGGUGAAAUCCUGGAGCUCAACUCCAGAACUGCCUUCGAUACUGUAGAGCUUGAGUUCGGGAGAGGUGAGUGGAACUGCGAGUGUAGAGGUGAAAUUCGUAGAUAUUCGCAAGAACACCAGUGGCGAAGGCGGCUCACUGGUCCGAUACUGACGCUGAGGUGCGAAAGGCGUGGGGAGCAA
rnacentral:rRNA from 1 species